rnacentral:rRNA from 1 species
GACGAACGCUGGCGGCGUGCCUAAUACAUGCAAGUCGAACGCAGUGGGGACGGGUGAGUAACACGUGGGUAACCUCCCAUCAGAGGGGAUAACACUUGGAAACAGGUGCUAAACCGAUACUGAUGGAUGAACCCGCGGUGCAUUAGCUAGUUGGUGAGGUAACGGCUCACCAAGGCCACGAUGCAUAGACGACCUGGUGGGGGGACGGGCCAAACGGGAACUGAGAAAAGGCCCAGACGCCUACGGGAGGCAGCAGUAGGGAAGCGUGGGCAAUGGACGAAAGUCUGACGGAGCAACGCCGCGUGAGUGAAGAAGGAUUUCGGUUCGUAAAACACUGUUGUUAGAGAAGCGGUAGAUAACCAGAAAGCCACGGCUAACUACGUGCCAGCAGCCGCGGUAAUAC